rnacentral:rRNA from 1 species
AUUGAACGCUGGCGGCAUGCCUUACACAUGCAAGUCGAACGGUAACAGGUCUUCGGAUGCUGACGAGUGGCGAACGGGUGAGUAAUACAUCGGAACGUGCCCGAUCGUGGGGGAUAACGAAGCGAAAGCUUUGCUAAUACCGCAUAAGAUCUAAGGAUGAAAGCAGGGGACCGCAAGGCCUUGCGCGAACGGAGCGGCCGAUGGCAGAUUAGGUAGUUGGUGGGAUAAAAGCUUACCAAGCCGACGAUCUGUAGCGGGUCUGAGAGGACGACCAGCCACGCUGGGACUGAGACACGGCCCAGACUCCUACGGGAGGCAGCAGUGGGGAAUUUUGGACAAUGGGCGAAAGCCUGAUCCAGCCCUGCCGCGUGCAGGAUGAAGGCCUUCGGGUUGUAAACUGCUUUUGUACGGAACGAAAAGACUCUGGUUAAUACCUGGGGUCCAUGACGGUACCGUAAGAAUAAGCACCGGCUAACUACGUGCCAGCCGCCGCCGUAAAAC